CAUGCCGCGUGAGUGAUGAAGGCCUUAGGGUCGUAAAGCUCUUUCGCCAGAGAUGAUAAUGACAGUAUCUGGUAAAGAAACCCCGGCUAACUCCGUGCCAGCAGCCGCGGUAAUACGGAGGGGGUUAGCGUUGUUCGGAAUUACUGGGCGUAAAGCGUACGUAGGCGGAUUAGUCAGUCAGAGGUGAAAUCCCAGGGCUCAACCCUGGAACUGCCUUUGAUACUGCUAGUCUUGAGUUCGAGAGAGGUGAGUGGAAUUCCAAGUGUAGAGGUGAAAUUCGUAGAUAUUCGGAGGAACACCAGUGGCGAAGGCGGCUUACUGGCUCGAUACUGACGCUGAGGUGCGAAAGUGUGGGGAGCAAACAGGAUUAGAUACCCUGGUAGUCCACACCGUAAACGAUGAAUGCCAGACGUCAGCAAGUAUACUUGUUGGUGUCACACCUAACGGAUUAAGCAUUCCGCCUGGGGAGUACGGUCGCAAGAUUAAAACUCAAAUGAAUUGACGGGGGCCCGCACAAGCGGUGGAGCAUGUGGUUUAAUUCGAUGCAACGCGAAGAACCUUACCUACUCUUGACAUACUAGAAACUUUUCAGAGAUGAAUUGGUGCCUUCGGGAAUCUAGAUACAGGUGCUGCAUGGCUGUCGUCAGCUCGUGUCGUGAGAUGUUGGGUUAAGUCCCGCAACGAGCGCAACCCUUGUCCUUAGUUGCCAGCCUUAAGUUGGGCACUCUAAGGAGACUGCCGGUGACAAACCGGAGGAAGGUGGGGACGACGUCA
rnacentral:rRNA from 1 species